UGGGGAAUUUUGCACAAUGGGGGAAACCCUGAUGCAGCGACGCCGCGUGAUUUAGAAGGCCUUCGGGUUGUAAAAAUCUUUUUUACGGGAUGAAAAUGACAGUACCGUAAGAAUAGGGUCCGGCUAAAUACGUGCCAGCAGCCGCGGUAAUACGUAUGGACCGAGCGUUGUCCGGAAUCAUUGGGCGUAAAGGGUACGUAGGCGGCCUAGUAAGUUAGAAGUGAAAUAAUAUAGCUCAACUAUAUAAAGCUUUUAAAACUGCUAGGCUUGAGAGAUGGAAGGGAAAGUGGAAUUCCUAGUGUAGCGGUGAAAUGCGCAGAUAUUAGGAAGAAUACCGGUGGCGAAGGCGACUUUCUGGUCAUCAUCUGACGCUGAGGUACGAAAGCGUGGGUAGCAAACAGG
rnacentral:rRNA from 1 species